UACGUAGGGGCUAGCGUUGUCCGGAAUCAUUGGGCGUAAAGAGCGUGUAGGCGGCUCGGUAAGUCCGCUGUGAAAGUCCAGGGCUCAACCCUGGAAUGCCAGUGGAAACUGUCGAGCUAGAGUCCGGAAGAGGCGAGUGGAAUUCCUGGUGUAGCGGUGAAAUGCGCAGAUAUCAGGAGGAACACCAAUGGCGAAGGCAGCUCGCUGGGACGGUAGCUGACGCUGAGACGCGAAAGCGUGGGGAG
rnacentral:rRNA from 1 species